rnacentral:lncRNA from 1 species
UGGAAAGGUAAAGCUACCUGUAUUUUCAAAUGAAAUAAUCUUAUAAGUAGAUAAUCCUAAGAAAUCCACUAAGAAACAAUUAAAAGAUUUCAACAAAGUUGCAGAUUAUAAAAUCAAUAUACAAAAAUCAGUUGUAUUUCUAUGUAUUAGCAAUACACAAAAUUAAGAAGGUAAAAAUUAAAAUUAAGAAAACAAUUUCAUUUACAAUAGCAUCACAAACAAUAAAAUACUUAGGAAUAAAUUUAACUAAGGAAGUGCAAGACGUAUAAAUUGAAAACAACAAAACAUUGUUGGAAGAAAUUAAAAAGUCCUAAAUAAAUAAAAAGACAGCCUAUGUUCAAUGGAUCAUAAGACUUAAUAUUGUUAAGAUUUAAUAGUCCCUAAAUUUAAAAUUUAUCUACAGAUUCAAUGAGAUCUCUAUCAAAAUCUUGAUGCCUUCUUUGCAGAAACGGAUAAGCUGAUUUUAAAGUUCAUAUGGAAAUUAAAGGAGCCCCAAAUAGGCAAAACAAUCUUGGGAAAGAAGAACAAAGUUGGAGAACUCACUUCCAAAUUUCAAAACUUACUACAAAGCUAUAGUAAUCAAGUCAGGGCGCAGCUGGCAUAAGGACCAAUAGAAUAUACAAAAAUAUAAAAAUCAAUAAAAUAGAACUGAGAGUACAGAAAUAAUAUAAUAUAGAAAUCAAUAGAACAGAACUGAGAGUACAAAAAUAAUCUCUUACGGUCAACUGGUUUUUGACAAAGGAGUGAAGGUAAUUAAAUGGAAAGAUAAUAGUCUCUUAAACAAAUGGUGCUAAGAAAAGUAUAUAUUCACAUGCUAUUGAAUGAAGUUGGACCUCUACUUCAUACCAUAUACACUAUGUAUAAAAAUGAACUCAAAUGAGACAAAGAUCUAAUUUUAAGACCUAAAAAUAGAAAACUCGUAAAAGCAAGCAAAGGUAUAUAUCUUCAUGACUUUGGAUUAAGGAAAUGUUUUCUUAGAUAUUACACCCAAGGUACAGUGACAAAAGAAAAAAUUCAUAAAUUAAACAUCAUUGAAAUUAAAGCCUUUUGUGUUUCAUAUGACAGCAUUAAGUGAAAAGACAGAGUUCCUGUUGUGGCUCAGUGUCCACGAGGAUGUGUGUUCAAUCCCUGGCCUUGCUCAGUGGGUUAAGGACCCAGCGUUGCUUCAAGCUGCCACAGACGUGGCCCUAAAAAGCAAAGAUAUCACAUAUCUGAUAGGGACUACUAUCCAUAAAAUAUAAUAUCUCUUAAAACUCAAUAAUUUUUUAAUUUAAUAACCCAAUUAACAAAGGAUCUGAAUAGACAUUUCGCUAAGAUAUAUAAAUGGUCAAUGAGUAAAUUAAAAGAUGUUCAACAUCAUCACUCAUCAGGGAAAUGCUAAUCAAAAUGACAGUGAGAUAUCACUUCUUACCCACUAGGAUGGGAAAAUCAAAAAGACAAGCAGUACUGUUGAGAAUAUAGAAACACUGGAACCCUCAUAUACUGACAGUGGGAAUCUAAAACGUGGCAGCCACUUUGGAAAAUAGUCUGGCAGUUUUUCAAAAGGUUAAACAAAGAAUUAAUUACCCAGCAGUUCCACUUCUAGGUAUAUAUCCAAGAGAAAUGAAAACAUGUAUCUACACAAAACAGGUUUGUGAAUAUUUAUAGCAGCACUUUUUACAAUGGCCAAAAAAAAAAAAAAAGUAGAAACAACUCAAAUGUCCAUUAACUGAUGCAUGGAUAAAUGAAAUGUGGUAUAGCCAUACAAUGAAACAUUAUGCUGUCACAAAAAGAAACUAAUACAUGCCACAACAUGAUGAACCUUGAAAACAUUAUGCUAAGUGAAACAAGCCAGUCUCAAAGGACCAAAUAUUGUGUCAUUCUAUCUAUAUUAAAUAUCCAGAAUAAGCAAAUCUACAGAGAUAUAAAGUAUAUUAGUAGUUGCUCAGGGGUGGGAAAUUUGGAGGUAGAUGAAGAGUGACUCAAUGGAUACAGGGCUUCUUUCUGAGGUGAUGAAAAUAUUCUAAAAUUGAUUGCAGCAAUGGCUGCAUAGCUCUGUAAAUACACUAAAAAGUAUUGAAUUGUAUACUUUGAAUGAAUCAUAUGGUGUGUAAAUAAUGUCUCAAUAAAGCCAUAAUUUUUUUUAAGUGCUGAUGUAGUCUUUGCUUUGUGACAGCAUGAGCAGUGCUGAGAUGAAAAACAGAAGAGUCUUUAAAAAAUAUUAUAAAAUGUAGUGAAUCUUGGUCUUGCUAAAAAUUGUGGUAAAUGAGUUAUUGUUCCUGGGACCAAACACAACCACCAGAGAAACUGUAAUUGAGAGUUAGGAGAUUUUUUUCAGCUAGUAAGUAGUUUGGGAAAAGCCCAGUUUCUCAGCCUGAUGCCAAAACAGAGACUUGGGCCAGGAUCCCACCAGCACAAGGCCUCCUGGCUCCCACCUGUGGGCAGACAACAAUGUCUCAGCAGAUCUGGGCUGCUGCAGAUAAAGGGUUCUGCAAGGUGUGAGCCCUGGAGGCAAGUAACACAGACAAUAACUGUGUGCCUAAAGGUCAUGCAAGAGCCAAGAGUCCCAGGAUCCAUGGUCCUAGGGCACACAAAAUAAAGAGAAAGUGAACUAUUGUCUUAGCUUGGGUUUUCUCCAAAGCAAAGGC